AACGAACGCUGGCGGCAUGCCUAACACAUGCAAGUCGAACGCGUGUAGCAAUACACGAGUGGCGGACGGGUGAGUAACGCGUGGGAACCUGCCCAAUGGUAGGGAAUAACUGCGGGAAACUGCAGCUAAUACCCUAUGCUCCCUACGGGGGAAAGAUUUAUCGCCAUUGGAGGGGCCCGCGUCGGAUUAGCUAGUUGGCGGGGUAACGGCCCACCAAGGCUACGAUCCGUAGCUGGUCUGAGAGGAUGAUCAGCCACACUGGGACUGAGAUACGGCCCAGACUCCUACGGGAGGCAGCAGUGGGGAAUAUUGGACAAUGGGGGAAACCCUGAUCCAGCAAUGCCGCGUGUGUGAAGAAGGCCUGCGGGUUGUAAAGCACUUUCAGUCGGGAGGGAAGGCGGGUUGGCGAACAGCCGGCCGGAUUGACGUAACCGACAGAAGAAGCACCGGCUACUACGUGCCAGCAGCAGCCGC
rnacentral:rRNA from 1 species